rnacentral:rRNA from 1 species
UACGUAGGUGGCAAGCGUUAUCCGGAUUUAUUGGAUGUAAAGGGCGUGUAGGCGGGAGCGCAAGUCAGAUGUGAAAACUCAGGGCUCAACCCUGAGCCUGCAUUUGAAACUGUGUUUCUUGAGUGCUGGAGAGGCAAUCGGAAUUCCGUGUGUAGCGGUGAAAUGCGUAGAUAUACGGAGGAACACCAGUGGCGAAGGCGGAUUGCUGGACAGUAACUGACGCUGAGGCGCGAAAGCGUGGGGAGCAAACAGG